rnacentral:rRNA from 1 species
GGCGGCGUGCCUAAUACAUGCAAGUCGAACGAACUUCCGUUAAUUGAUUAUGACGUACUUGUACUGAUUGAGAUUUUAACACGAAGUGAGUGGCGAACGGGUGAGUAACACGUGGGUAACCUGCCCAGAAGUAGGGGAUAACACCUGGAAACAGAUGCUAAUACCGUAUAACAGAGAAAACCGCAUGGUUUUCUUUUAAAAGAUGGCUCUGCUAUCACUUCUGGAUGGACCCGCGGCGUAUUAGCUAGUUGGUGAGGUAAAGGCUCACCAAGGCAGUGAUACGUAGCCGACCUGAGAGGGUAAUCGGCCACAUUGGGACUGAGACACGGCCCAGACUCCUACGGGAGGCAGCAGUAGGGAAUCUUCCACAAUGGACGCAAGUCUGAUGGAGCAACGCCGCGUGAGUGAAGAAGGGUUUCGGCUCGUAAAGCUCUGUUGUUAAAGAAGAACGUGGGUAAGAGUAACUGUUUACCCAGUGACGGUAUUUAACCAGAAAGCCACGGCUAACUACGUGCCAGCAGCCGCGGUAAUACGUAGGUGGCAAGCGUUAUCCGGAUUUAUUGGGCGUAAAGCGAGCGCAGGCGGUCUUUUAAGUCUAAUGUGAAAGCCUUCGGCUCAACCGAAGAAGUGCAUUGGAAACUGGGAGACUUGAGUGCAGAAGAGGACAGUGGAACUCCAUGUGUAGCGGUGAAAU